CCCUAGCAAGGGAAGGAGCACUGACAAGUCACACAAGCUCCACUGUGACACGUGUCAGGUUGGCCACACCCUGUGUUCAGAACCAGUCACAUGGCCACUCCUCAUUUCAAGGGAGCAAGGAGAUGCAACCUUACCAUGUGCCUGGAGGGGAGAGAAGGGAGAUGCCGGCAGGUUCACUGAUGACCACCAAAGAAGUAACCUAAUACCCUGCCUAAUUUGGUGGAAUCAAAUGACUGACUUGCUACCAUCCAAGUAAAACCGCCCACAUGAAAUGUCAAGAAACCUAUGAAGAGGAUUUCUCUCCAGUUUGCUAAAUUAGAAAAUGUAUGCAAAUUAAUUCGAUGAGGCCUGUUAACCACUCUUUCUAAUUCAGUCUCAACAAGAAUCCUCCUUUUAAUAGUAAACAUUGAAUGUUACAAUCA